AAUGGGCGCAAGCCUGAUCCAGCAAUGCCGCGUGAGUGAUGAAGGCCUUAGGGUUGUAAAGCUCUUUCGCCCGCGACGAUGAUGACGGUAGCGGGAGAAGAAGCCCCGGCUAAUUCCGUGCCAGCAGCCGCGGUAAUACGGAAGGGGCUAGCGUUGUUCGGAAUUACUGGGCGUAAAGCGCGCGCAGGCGGCUUGGCAAGUGAGGCGUGAAAGUCCUGGGCUCAACCUGGGGACGGCGCUUCAGACUGCUUGGCUUGAGUCCGGAAGAGGGUGGUGGAAUUCCGAGUGUAGAGGUGAAAUUCGUAGAUAUUCGGAGGAACACCGGUGGCGAAGGCGGCCACCUGGUCCGGAACUGACGCUCAAGCGCGAAAGCGUGGGGAGCAAA
rnacentral:rRNA from 1 species